rnacentral:rRNA from 1 species
UACACGCAAGUGUGACAGGGCUAUCCCGAGUGCCAUCCGCUGAGGAAGGCUUUUACCCAGUCUAGAACGCUGGGGGAAUAAGGAGAGGGCAAGUCUGGUGUCAGCCGCCGCGGUAAUACCAGCUCUCCGAGUGGUGUGGAUGUUUAUUGGGCCUAAAGCAUCCGUAGCUGGCUAAGUUAGUCCCUUGUUAAAUCCACCGAAUUAAUCGUUGGAUCGCGGGGGAUACUGCUUGGCUAGGGGACGAGAGAGGCAGACGGUAUUUUUGGGGUAGGGGUGAAAUCCUAUAAUCCCAGGAAGACCACCAGUGGCGAAGGCUGUCUGCUAGAACGCGCCCGACGGUGAGGGAUGAAAGCUGGGGGAGCGAACCGGAUU